rnacentral:tRNA from 1 species
GCCGGAGUGGCGGAAUUGGUAGACGCACUCGACUCAAAAUCGAGCGGGAAACCGUAGGGGUUCGAGUCCCCUCUUCGGCACCA